ACCAGGAUGGCCGAGUGGUGAAGGCGUUGGACUUAAGAUCCAAUGGGCAUAUGCCCGCGUGGGUUCGAACCCCACUUCUGGUA
rfam:Picoides pubescens contig23940, whole genome shotgun sequence.